rnacentral:rRNA from 1 species
UACAGAGGUGGCAAGCGUUGUUCGGAAUUACUGGGCGUAAAGGGCGCGUAGGCGGCCAUCUAAGUCAGACGUGAAAUCCCCCGGCUUAACCUGGGAACUGCGUCUGAUACUGGACGGCUCGAGUAUGGGAGAGGGAUGUAGAAUUCCAGGUGUAGCGGUGAAAUGCGUAGAUAUCUGGAGGAACACCGGUGGCGAAGGCGGCUCACUGGCCCGGUACUGACGCUGAGGUGCGAAAGCGUGGGGAGCAAACAGG